rnacentral:rRNA from 1 species
CUAGUAACUGCGAGUGAAGCGGGAAAAGCUCAAAUUUAAAAUCUGGUGGUCUCUGGCCAUCCGAGUUGUAAUCUAGAGAAGCGUCUUCCGUGCCGGACCGUGUACAAGUCUCUUGGAACAGAGCAUCAUAGAGGGUGAGAAUCCCGUCUUUGACAUGGACUACCGGUGCUUUGUGAUGCGCUCUCAAAGAGUCGCGUUGUUUGGGAAUGCAGCGCAAAAUGGGUGGUGAAUUCCAUCUAAAGCUAAAUAUUGGCGAGAGACCGAUAGCGAACAAGUACCGUGAGGGAAAGAUGAAAAGCACUUUGGAAAGAGAGUUAAACAGUACGUGAAAUUGUUGAAAGGGAAACGCUUGAAGUCAGUCGCGUCUGGCGGAACUCAGCCUUGCUUUUGCUUGGYGCACUUUCCGUCUGACGGGCCAGCAUCAAUUUUGGUCGSCGGAUAAAGUUCAGUGGAAUGUGGCACCCUCGGGUGUGUUAUAGCCUCUGUUCGCAUACGGCGGCUGGGAUUGAGGUCUGCARCACGCCUUUUGGCCGGGGUUCRCCCACGUACGUGCUUAGGAUGCUGGCGUAAUGGCUUUAAACGACGCGUCUUGAAACACGGACCAAGGAGUCUAACAUGCC